GUUUUGUUAUAGUUCGGUGAGGGAGCCACUUCCUUAGCUUCCUGGUGUUCUAACUCAUCUGUCUUCCGCUGACUGGCUUUUUAUACUGUCUUUAGGGUUAGCAGGUUUGACACUGUAUCUGUGUCUUUCCACAGGUAGCCUACUGAAGAUCAAAAUCAUACCUUCCUUUGCUAAAUGUGGAGAGGAGAAAUGGAUUAACUAGGGAGCGCUUUGUACAGUGCUCUAGACACAGUAAACCCCCAGUAAAGACCAUUGAUGACGAUAAUGCCGAGACCUUCAUGAGGAUCAUCAUGCAGAUAUCUUCACUGAUGAGACGAUGAUGGGGCAAGCGUCCACCAACUCUGUUCUACCGUUCUCUCCCAAGCGCCUAGUAAAGUGAUCAGCGCACGGUAAGUACCUAAUAAAUAUGACUGAUUGAUCUUCUAACCCACAGAAUUUAUUAUUAAUAUUAUUAUAAUUCUUAAUAAUAUUUGGCACCAGUCCACGUGGUCUCUCCCGGUCAGCCCU
rnacentral:lncRNA from 1 species